UUCCUCCCCAGAUUGUUCAUUUGGUCGAAGUGUUUAACCCUCCCAGAUAGAUGAGAACCAUCCCUUGUCAAGGACAUGAGUGACUAUGAAGGCUGGCUGCAAACUCAAAAAAGGACUGAGUCAGAAGGCACCUGUCUAUAUAAACACACUGCACUCCAGGUGAAUAGUAUGCCCAAACAGAGGCCACAGAGAUGAACAAACUCACCUCUUGAAUGGGGAAAAGAUGAGCGGAUCGACUCAUAGGGCAAUACAAAAAUGACAGCAUUCAGGAUGUUAAGGGUUCCGAGAAGCGGCAAAGCUAAUGCUCUGAAGGAGGAAAAGAAAUAUGUUGCGAUGUUCUCAAGACGUAUAUCAAAGAUGUUUCAGUCCCCAGGGUAGAAACUGGAACCACUGUCUUGAAUCAAAAGAUGGAAGAAGCUUCUCUUGAAGAUUAAAGGGACACAAGACAGAAGUUGUCUGUGUCCCUGAGGGCUUAGCAGAGGAGACUUGACCUACUUUCUUGGGCUUGUUGUGACAUCUAUUUUAAUUACAAUGUUCCUGAAAAG
rnacentral:lncRNA from 1 species